GAUUUGGAUCAGAUGGAUUACAGCGGUGAAGGUCCAUGGUCCCCGUUGAUUCCCAAUUUAACAUGUGAACCUAUGGAAGCGGACCAUGUUGCAGAUCAAGAAAUGGCUCCUGAUUCCAUGGAAACCGAUGAAGCAUCAACCUCUACUAGAACCAACCCAUCUCAAAUUGGUUUUGGCGAAAACCCUGAACAAGGAAUGAGGCUGACUGAUCUGCUUCGUGAAUUAGAAGAUAUGUUUGACAACAUUCUCAAUGAAACAGCUAGAGGACUUGACCCUUUGUUGGAUCUUGGACGAGUCAUCGUUCAUCACAUGGGAUUGUACAAUCCUGUGUAUGUACCGCUAAGGCCCUUGAAAGAUCUUACUGGAAAAAGUGUGAUGGAGAACUUACAAACACAACAAUACAACAGCCAUGAAAAUCUUUCUCUAGAUAAAAGUUUUUAUUUAAAUGUGGGGUUUAUUAAAGUUCCAAAGGGCGGUACAAAAGGCAAACAUAUUAACAAAGUAGGUAGCAGCAAUGAUUCUCUCAGAAUCAAAAGAUCAUGUAUCAAAAUUCAAAACACAGAUGAAUUAUGCCUUGCUCAAAGCAUUUGCAUGGGGUUUCUCAAAUUACAUCAAAUUCCAACAUCUGAUUGGCAGAAAUUAGCACACCAAAGUGACAAAGGAACAAUAGAAGAAAAAGUAAUGGAAUUGCAGAAAUGUCCUAUUUGGUUCUACAAAGAAUUAAUGAAGCACAACAAAAGAAAUAAUGAACGUAAAAAAAAAUUAGCCAUUUUGUUAUGCCAGAAAACCAAUGUAAGCAGUGAGAGACGUCUGUCCAUUCAAGGCAUUCAUGCUUUUGAGAACGUAUUGAAUGUUGAUAUUCUAGUUGUCAGUGCCACUACUGGUAACAAAUUCAUACGAACUGCUCCAAAAGAUGUCAGUGAAGAUGAGCAAGGGUCAGAAAUUCCGAAAAAAGAUCACGGAUACUCAAUGGAAAGAAAUGAUGAAUGUGUUCAAUGCAGUAACAGCCCCGAACCCUGCAUGGAAUGCUGUAAAUGUGUAAACUGUCAUCAGUCUUGGUGUGGAAAAUCUCAGCACAAACCCAACUUGGUAGUGGCUCAAACAGUGUGUGAGGAAUGCUUCAAUCAAGAACUCACACCAAAUUCUAAAUGCGAUAACUAUGGAACUAGGUGCAAAAAAUAUUACUGCCGUAGUGAUGUGGACAUACUCAGACAAGCUUGUUUGAAAUUCAGAGAAAUUCUUAUGAAAAUCACAGGAAAAGAAAAAGUGGUAUUUGAGGAUGAAAUGCCAGAGAAAAAACUAAUGGGAGGCGUGGAUCCUUUUCAAUGCACGACCAUUGCUGGGGUUUGCAUGGAAGUGUUUAAAAGCAAAUUUCUUCAGGAAGAAUGGCGUGUCAAAGUUAGAGGCAAUGAUGGAAUAAGUGAUUGGCUACAGGCCCGCCGACUGCAAGGGGACUUUUCCAUUUUAUUCAAGGAACAUUGGGUUACGGGUGAAGAGUUACAGAAUCAAGAAUACGUAAUAGAAGAAUCUGAAUUUGUUAGUUCACCUAUUCACAAAUCCCUUCCACGGGUUAUGCCCCUUUUCUCGGACAAUAUAGUUGCGUAUCGAUACAGUGGCUCUCAUGGAUACAAGAAGAUCAUUUAA
rnacentral:sRNA from 1 species